rnacentral:rRNA from 1 species
GAAAUGCGCGAAAGCGUGAUCCAGCUAUUGCGCGUGCAGACGAUGCCCCUCGGGGUGUAAACUGCUGUCAGCGUCUAGAAAGAACGUGAUCAGACCCAGAGGAAAGACCGGCUAACUUCGUGCCAGCAGCCGCGGUAAUACGAAGGGUCCUAGCGUUAAUCGGAAUCACUGGGCUUAGAGCGUGCGUAGGCGGAUCUACAAGUGCUUUGUGAAAUCCCUCGGCUCAACCGAGGAACUGCUGGGCAGACUGUAGGUCUUGAGGUCGGUAGGGGCUGUCGGAACACUAGGUGGAGCGGUGAAAUGCGUAGAUAUCUAGUGGAACGCCAAAGGCGAAGGCAGACAGCUGGGCCGAAUCUGACGCUGAGGCACGAAAGCGUGGGGAGCGAACGGGAUUAGAUACCCCGGUAGUCCACGCCGUAAACGAUGUGCACUAGAUCGUGGAGGUUUUGACGCCGACACGGUCGAAGCAAAAGUGUUAAGUGCACCGCCUGGGGAGUACGGUCGCAAGGCUAAAACUCAAAGGAAUUGACGGGGACUCACACAAGCGGUGGAGCAUGUGGCUUAAUUCGAAGCAACGCGAAGAACCUUAUCCUGGGUUUGACAUGUACGGAUUAGCCUCAAGAAACUGAGGUAACACCCUUUGGGUGGAACGUUCACAGGUGCUGCAUGGCUGUCGUCAGCUCGUGCUGUGAAGUGUCGGGUUAAGUCCCUUAACGAGCGAAACCCCUGCCGCUAGUUGCCAUCGAGUAAUGUCGGGGACUCUAGCGGGACUGCCGGUGUUAAACCGGAGGAAGGUGGGGAUGACGUCAAGUCCUCAUGGCCUUUAUGCCCAGGGCUGCACACGUGCUACAAUGGCGGAUACAGAGCGACGCGAUAUCGCAAGAUGGAGCAAAUCGCAAAAAGUCCGCCCCAGUUCGGAUCGGGGUCUGCAACUCGACCCCGUGAAGUUGGAAUCGCUAGUAAUCGCGUAUCAGGUACGACGCGGUGAAUACGUUCCUGAGUCUUGUACACACCGCCCGUCAAGUCAUGGAAGCCGGGAGCACCCGACAGCCGUCCUAAUCAAGGA